rnacentral:rRNA from 1 species
GGAAUAUUGCGCAAUGGGCGAAAGCCUGACGCAGCCACGCCGCGUGAGUGAUGAAGGCCUUCGGGUUGUAAAGCUCUUUCGGGCGGGACGAAAGGCCUUAAAACCUUGACCGUACCUCGCAAGAACGCCCCGGCUAACUCUGUGCCAGCAGCCGCGGUAAUACAGAGGGUGCAAGCGUUGCUCGGAUUUACUGGGCGUAAAGCGUACGCAGAAGGUGAGAAAGGUAGAAUGUGAAAGCCCCGGGCUCAACCCGGGAACUGCAUCCGAAACCAUCUCGCUAGAGUAUGAGAGAGGGAAGCAGAAGUCCUGGUGUAGAGGUGAAAUUCGUAGAUAUCAGGAGGAAUACCUGCGGCGAAGGCGGCUUCCUGGCUCAUUACUGACGUUCAGGUACGAAAGCGUGGGUAGCAAAC